ACCGGCUGACGAGUCCCAAAUAGGACGAAACACACAUCCAGGAU
rnacentral:hammerhead_ribozyme from 1 species